rnacentral:rRNA from 1 species
UACGUAGGGUGCGAGCGUUAAUCGGAAUUACUGGGCGUAAAGCGUGCGCAGGCGGUUUUGUAAGACAGAUGUGAAAUCCCCGGGCUCAACCUGGGACCUGCAUUUGUGACUGCAAGGCUAGAGUACGGUAGAGGGGGAUGGAAUUCCGCGUGUAGCAGUGAAAUGCGUAGAUAUGCGGAGGAACACCGAUGGCGAAGGCAAUCCCCUGGACCUGUACUGACGCUCAUGCACGAAAGCGUGGGGAGCAAACAGGAUUAGAUACCCUGGUAGUCCACGCCCUAAACGAUGUCAACUGGUUGUUGGGUCUUUACUGACUCAGUAACGAAGCUAACGCGUGAAGUUGACCGCCUGGGGAGUACGGCCGCAAGGUUGAA